rnacentral:lncRNA from 13 species
GCCCUUUGGGUUCAUACCCAGUAAUGGGAUUGCUGGGUUGAAAGGUAUUUCUGUCUUUAGGUCUUUGAAGAAUGGUCACACUGUCUUCCACGACGUUGAACUAAUUUACACUACCACUAAUGGCCAAGAUGGCCAACGAGAAGCAGCAAGUAUGUGUGGUUCUAAUGGAGAGGAACAGAAGGGGUGGCAGCAGUGACC